AAGGUUUUAAGUUAAAUAUAAACUAAUAGUCUUCAAAAUUAUUUAUAAAGAGUUACUCUUUAAGCCUUA
rnacentral:tRNA from 1 species